CCCCUUAUCGAUUGGUUAAGUUUGGAAUGUUUUGAAUUUGACUUGAAACAACAUUCCUUAUCUUGAAGAGAUUUUGAUCUCAUCCUAACUCUUACCAAAUAGGCUUUAUUUUGUACAACAAAAUAAGGUGAUUGUGAUCAUGGGAAAUCAAUUUUCACCAUGAAAAAUAUCUGAAAGAGGGCAUCCCAUAUUUUAUGUGGCAUGGACUUGUAAGAGGAGGUGACAAAAGAGUAAG
rnacentral:lncRNA from 1 species